AUUGAACGCUGGCGGCAUGCUACACAUGCACGUCGAACGGUAACAGGCCGCACGUUGCUGACGUGUUGCGAACGGGUGCGUAAUGCAUCGGCACGUGUCCAGUCGUGUGGGCUAACGCAUCGCAAGCUGUGCUAAUACCGCAUACCAUCUAUGGAUGCAAGCUGGGUAGCGAAGGUCCUCGCGCGAUUGCAGCGGCCGAUGUCCGAUUAGGUAGUUGGUGGGGUAAAGGCCUACCAAGCCAACGAUCUGUAGCUGGUCUGCGAGAACGACAAGCCACACGGGAACUGAGACACGGCCCAGAGUCCUAAGGGAGGCAGCAGUGGGGAAUGUUAGACAAUGGGCGCAAGCCUGAUCCAGCAAUGCCGCGUGCAGGAAGAAGGCCUUCGGGUUGUAAACUGCUUUUGUACGGAACGAAACGGUCUGGAUUAAGACCCUGGACUAAUGACGGUACCGGAAGAAUAAGCACCGGCUAACUACGUG
rnacentral:rRNA from 1 species